GAUGAACGCUAGCUACAGGCUUAACACAUGCAGGUCGAGGGGCAGCAUGACCUAGCAAUAGGUUGAUGGCGACCGGCGCACGGGUGAGUAACACGUAUCCAACCUGCCGAUUAUUCCGGGAUAGCCUUUCGAAAGAAAGAUUAAUACUGGAUAGCAUAACGAGAAGGCAUCUUCUUGUUAUUAAAGAAUUUCGAUAAUCGAUGGGGAUGCGUUCCAUUAGUUUGUUGGCGGGGUAACGGCCCACCAAGACAUCGAUGGAUAGGGGUUCUGAGAGGAAGGUCCCCCACAUUGGAACUGAGACACGGUCCAAACUCCUACGGGAGGCAGCAGUGAGGAAUAUUGGUCAAUGGACGAGAGUCUGAACCAGCCAAGUAGCGUGAAGGAUGACUGCCCUAUGGGUUGUAAACUUCUUUUAUAUGGGAAUAAAGUGGGCCACGUGUGGCUUUUUGUAUGUACCAUACGAAUAAGGAUCGGCUAACUCCGUG
rnacentral:rRNA from 1 species